rnacentral:lncRNA from 1 species
UUUUUGGAGAGAUGGACAACAAGCUUGUCCAUGAAAGCAGGAGCGAUGUAGAAGCCUCCCAUGGUGUUGUCGAAGUCGUACUUCCGCAGGCCCUGGCUGACGUACUCGUAGGAGCUGAGGACGGCCUCGUGGGUGCCGUCGCCCGUGGGCGCCUGGAAGAGCGAGUCCACGAUGCCCUUCCCUCUGGUGAUGUCCUGCUGGUCGUCGGAGAUAUCGUACGCAAGACCCUUCCACUUGUCGGUGUUCCUCUUCUCGUCGAUGUUCUCCGCUGCCAUGACUGUGAACCUGUUGGCCUUGGAGCUCUUGCCAUGGUAGUUCACGGCCGAGGUCACCUGCUUCUUGAGCUUCUUCCCGAGGAAGUUGGUCGGC